AGGCUAGGAUCUGGCCUGAGGCAGACUGAGAGUCACAUCCUGGUUCCAGCCUUUUUGUGCAGGAACUGUCAUCUAUAACAGGUUUCCGGGUGAUGUCGAUGCUGCUGGGCUGAGGACCCCACUUGAAGACCCGCUGGAUAAGGCCACUCGCAGUGGAUGUUCUCUGACAACACAGGCAAGCAGCUGCAGGACGGAGUGCUCCAAGUCCACCUGAGCCUGGGGUGAGUCAGAGAAGCAGAGCUCUGGCUGUUUUCCUAUUCCUCAAUUUCUACCCUGUCUCUGUGGUGUCUUGAGUCCUUGAGAGCCAGUCUUUGUGCACAGGGGCCAAAAAUGUUGUCUUAAUUUCAACACCUUAUUUAUUUAUUCAUAGCCAUGCCAGUCCCUGGGCCUGCUUAGGUUGAAGGGAUUUUUAAUUUUGUUUUGUGGCUUGAAUGAACUAAUUUUGUGGCUGAAAGCACUGA